AUUGAACGCUGGCGGCAGGCCUAACACAUGCAAGUCGACCGGAUCGCCCGUCGGGUGCUUAUUACCUAUGUCUCUGCCUGUUCGUGGUGGAUAACGUUCGCUAACGGACGCUAUUCCCGCUUCCUAUCAGUUUACCCUUGGUCGGAUUAGCUAGUUGGUGUGGUAAUGGCUCACCAAGGCUACGAUCCGUACCUGGGCUGAGAGGAUGAUCAGUCACACUGGAAAUGCGAAACGGUCCAGACUCCUACGGGAGGAAGCAGUGGGGAAUAUUGGACAAUGGGCGAAAGCCUGAUCCAGCCAUGCCGCGUGUGUGAAGAAGGUCUUCGGAUUGUAAAGAACUGUAAGUUGGGAGGAGUUAACGAAAGAAGAAGCAAAGGCUAACUCUGUGCCAGCAGCCGCGGUAAUAG
rnacentral:rRNA from 1 species